rnacentral:rRNA from 1 species
AUGACAAUGCUUUCGAUAGUCCGUACUAAAUUACUUUGUACGAAUGCACAUCUCGGCCGUCGGGUAGCUGAUCACCAUUUCAAAGUCUAUAUCCGUGGUUCAAGAAAUGGAAUUGCUAUUCUCGAUUCAGACAAGACACUGAUUUGUUUACGAAACGCUCUUCAUUUUAUAGGAUCUCCCAGUCGUCAAAAAGGUCGUUCCUUCUUUUUAAAGACCAAUCAUUUAUUUAUUUAUGAGAUAACGGAAGAAAUGGCGAGCUAUUUAAGAAGCUAUUUAAGAAAUGUGAAUUCUCAUUGUUUCGAUGAUUCUCAAUAG